CCAAAGGGUAGUUUAAUUAGAAGAUUCCGGUUUUGGGG
rnacentral:tRNA from 1 species